rnacentral:rRNA from 1 species
AUUGAACGCUGGCGGCAUGCCUUACACAUGCAAGUCGAACGGUAACGCGGGGCAACCUGGCGACGAGUGGCGAACGGGUGAGUAAUGUAUCGGAACGUGCCCAGUAGUGGGGGAUAGCCCGGCGAAAGCCGGAUUAAUACCGCAUACGACCUACGGGUGAAAGCGGGGGAUCGCAAGACCUCGCGCUAUUGGAGCGGCCGAUAUCAGAUUAGGUAGUUGGUGGGGUAAAAGCCUACCAAGCCGACGAUCUGUAGCUGGUCUGAGAGGACGACCAGCCACACUGGGACUGAGACACGGCCCCGACUCCUACGGGAGGCAGCAGUGGGGAAUUUUGGACAAUGGGCGCAAGCCUGAUCCAGCCAUGCCGCGUGCGGGAAGAAGGCCUUCGGGUUGUAAACCGCUUUUGUCAGGGAAGAAAAGCUCUGGGCUAAUACCCUGGGGUGAUGACGGUACCUGAAGAAUAAGCACCGGCUAACUACGUGCCAGCAGCCGCGGUAAUACGUAGGGUGCAAGCGUUAAUCGGAAUUACUGGGCGUAAAGCGUGCGCAGGCGGUUGUGCAAGACAGAUGUGAAAUCCCCGGGCUCAACCUGGGAACUGCAUUUGUGACUGCACAGCUAGAGUACGGUAGAGGGGGAUGGAAUUCCGCGUGUAGCAGUGAAAUGCGUAGAUAUGCGGAGGAACACCGAUGGCGAAGGCAAUCCCCUGGACCUGUACUGACGCUCAUGCACGAAAGCGUGGGGAGCAAACAGGAUUAGAUACCCUGGUAGUCCACGCCCUAAACGAUGUCAACUAGUUGUU